AGGCAUAUUAUAUGCACCUGUAGUCCCAGCAACUGGGAAUGCUGAGGCAGGAGGAUUAUUUGAGCCCAGGAGUUCAAGACCAGCCUGAGCAACAUAGUGAGAUCCCAUCUCAA
rnacentral:sRNA from 1 species